UACAGAGGUCUCGAGCGUUAGGCGGAAUCACUGGGCUUAAAGCGUGUGUAGGUGGAUCGUUAAGUACCUUGUGAAAUCCCACGGCUCAACCGUGGAACUGCUUGGUAUACUGCGGGUCUUGAGCCACCUAGGGGCAAGUGGAACAAACGGUGGAGCGGUGAAAUGCGUAGAUAUCGUUUGGAACGCCAAUGGUGAAAACAACUUGCUGGGGGUGUGCUGACGCUGAGACACGAAAGCCAGGGGAGCAAACGGG
rnacentral:rRNA from 1 species